rnacentral:lncRNA from 1 species
GGUAAGAAGGUGUUAUUACUGCAUGGAAGCUAUGGUGCUGCUAUUUCUGAACUACACCCUUACCUCUUCCAUUCCCACAGAGACUCAUCCCCGCCCGCCUAAGCCCGACCCUGUGAAGAGCUCAUCCAGUGUGCUCAGCAGUCUGACCCCUGCCAAGUCAGCCCCUGUCAUCAACAAUGGCUCCCCUACCAUCUUGGGCAAGAGGAGCUAUGAGCAGCACAAUGGGGUAGAUGGUGAGUCUGAGCUUAAGGACUGGCCCUGUGAAGAGACCAAGGCAGGUCUGCUGGGAGCUGCAGGGCUGGCCCUCUAAGGAAGUCAGGCCUGAGGGCCAAGGGACUAGGGCUAGCCCUGGAGCUCCACGUGACCCUUAUUCAACUGGCUGUCUUAGUUGAUGGUGUUUUCUCUCCCUCUCUCUCCUGUUCCUGGGCACUGCCAGGCAACAUGAAGAAGCGCCUCUUGAUGCCCAGUAGGGGUAAGGCCUGGGGCGGCCGC